rnacentral:rRNA from 1 species
UACGGAGGGUGCAAGCAUUAAUCGGAUUUAUUGGGCGUAAAGGGCGCGUAGGCGGGUUUGUAAGUCAGAUGUGAAAUCCCGGGGCUCAACCUCGGAACAGCAUUUGAAACUGCAUACCUAGAGGGUAGGCGGAGAAAACGGAAUUCCACAAGUAGCGGUGAAAUGCGUAGAUAUGUGGAAGAACACCGGUGGCGAAGGCGGUUUUCUAGCUUACUCCUGACGCUGAGGCGCGAAAGCAAGGGGAUCAAACAGG